UACGUAGGGGGCGAGCGUUGUCCGGAUUUAUUGGGCGUAAAAGGCUUGUAGGUGGCCAUGCGAAGUCGGAUGUGAAAUCUCCCGGCUCAACUGGGGAGGGUCAUUCGAUACUGAUCGACUCGAAGGCAGGAGAGGGUAGUGGAAUUCCCGGUGUAGUGGUGGAAAUGCGUAGAUAUCGGGAGGAACACCAGUGGCGAAGGCGGGUCG
rnacentral:rRNA from 1 species